AACGAACGCUGGCGGCAUGCCUAACACAUGCAAGUCGAACGAGACCUUCGGGUCUAGUGGCGCACGUGUGCGUAACGCGUGGGAACCUGCCCUUAGGUUCGGAAUAACUCCCCGAAAGGUGUGCUAAUACCGGAUAAUGUCUUCGGACCAAAGAUUUGUCGCCUUUGGAUGGGCCCGCGUUGGAUUAGCUAGUUGGUAGUGUAAAAGCCUACCAAGGCGAUGAUGGGUAGCUGGUCUGAGAGGAUGAUCGGCCACACUGGGACUGAGACAAGGCCCAGACUGAUAAGGGAGGAAGCAGUGGGGAAUAUGGCACAAGGGGCGGAAUCAUGAUGCAGAAACGCCGCGUGCGGGAUGACGGCCUUCGGGUUGUAAACCGCUUUCGCCUGUGACGAAGCGUGAGUGACGGUAAUGGGUAAAGAAGCACCGGAUAACUAAGUG
rnacentral:rRNA from 1 species